rnacentral:rRNA from 1 species
AUUGAACGCUGGCGGCAUGCCUUACACAUGCAAGUCGAACGGCAGCGCGGGCUUCGGCCUGGCGGCGAGUGGCGAACGGGUGAGUAAUGCAUCGGAACGUGCCCAGUAGUGGGGGAUAGCCCGGCGAAAGCCGGAUUAAUACCGCAUACGACCUGAGGGUGAAAGCGGGGGACCGAAAGGCCUCGCGCUAUUGGAGCGGCCGAUGUCGGUUUAGCUAGUAGGUGGGGUAGAGGCUUACCAAGGCUAGGAGCCUUAGCUGGUCUGAGGGGACGACCCGCCAGCUUGGGAGUGAGAAAGGGCCCAGACUCCGAGGGGAGGAAGCAGUCGGGAAUCUUAGACGAGGGGGGCGAGGGGGAUCCAGGCAUGCCGCGGGAGGGAAGAAGGAGUUCGGGUGGGAAAGUGAUGAUGUUCGGGGAGUAGUCCUGUUGGCUAAUACCCCAGGAGGAUGACAGUACCGGAAGAAUAAGCACCGGCUAACUACGUG